rnacentral:rRNA from 1 species
GUGUCAGCAGCCGCGGUAAAACGUAGGAGGCGAGCGUUAUCCGGAUUUACUGGGUGUAAAGCGCGUGCAGGCGGUUCUGUAAGUGGGGUGUGAAAGCGCUCGGCUCAACCGGGCGAGGACGUUCCAGACUGCAGAACUAGAGGCAGGCAGAGGCGUGUGGAAUUCCGGGUGUAGUGGUGAAAUGCGUAGAUAUCCGGAGGAACACCAGUGGCGAAGGCGACACGCUAGGUCUGAACUGACGCUCAGACGCGAAAGCAUGGGGAGCGAACGGGAUUAGAUACCCGCGUAGUCC